rnacentral:rRNA from 1 species
AGAGUUUGAUCCUGGCUCAGAUUGAACGCUGGCGGCAGGCCUAACACAUGCAAGUCGAGCGGCAUCGGGAAGGUAGCUUGCUAUCUUUGCCGGCGAGCGGCGGACGGGUGAGUAAAGUCUGGGGAUCUGCCUGAUGGAGGGGGAUAACUACUGGAAACGGUAGCUAAUACCGCAUGAUGUUACGCGACCAAAGCGGGGGACCUCCGGGCCUCGCGCCAUCAGAUGAACCCAGAUGGGAUUAGCUAGUAGGAGAGGUAAUGGCUCCCCUAGGCGACGAUCCCUAGCUGGUCUGAGAGGAUAACCAGCCACACUGGAACUGAGAGACGGUCCAGACUCCUACGGGAGGCAGCAGUGGGGAAUAUUGCACAAUGGGCGCAAGCCUGAUGCAGCCAUGCCGCGUGUGUGAAGAAGGCCUUCGGGUUGUAAAGCACUUUCAGCGAGGAGGAAUGAAGCAAUGCAAAGAGUGUUGCUAAUGGACGUUACUCGCAGAAGAAGCACCGGCUAACUCCGUGCCAGCAGCCGCGGUAAUACGGAGGGUGCGAGCGUUAAUCGGAAUUACUGGGCGUAAAGGGCACGUAGGCGGCUUCUUAAGUCAGAUGUGAAAUCCCCGAGCUUCACUUGGGAACGGCAUUUGAAACUGAGAGUCUAGAGUUUUGUAGAGGGGGGUAGAAUUCCAGGUGUAGCGGUGAAAUGCGUAGAUAUCUGGAGGAAUACCGGUGGCGAAGGCGGCCCCCUGGACAGAGACUGACGCUGAGGUGCGAAAGCGUGGGUAGCAANCAGGAUUAGAUACCCUGGUAGUCCACGCUGUAAACGAUGUCGAUUUGUAGGUUGUGGUUAUAAACUGUGGCUUGCG